AGAAUCAACGCUGGCGGCGUGCCUAACACAUGCAAGUCGCACGAGAAAGGGGAGCAAUCCCUGAGUACAGUGGCGCACGGGUGAGUAACACGUGAAUAAUCUACCUCCGAGUGGGGAAUAACUGAGAGAAAUCUUAGCUAAUACCGCAUAACACUUACGAGUCAAAGCAGCAAUGCGCUUGGAGAGGAGUUCGCGGCCGAUUAGUUAGUUGGCGGGGUAAUGGCCCACCAAGACGAUGAUCGGUAUCCGGCCUGAGAGGGCGCACGGACACACUGGAACUGAAACACGGUCCAGACUCCUACGGAGGCAGCAGUGGGAAUUUUGCGCAAUGGGGGAAACCCUGACGCAGCAACGCCGCGUGGAGGAUGAAGCCCCUUGGGGUGUAAACUCCUUUCGAUCGGGAAGAUAAUGACGGUACCGAUAUAAGAAGCCCGGCUAACUUCGCGCCAGCAGCCGC
rnacentral:rRNA from 1 species